rnacentral:rRNA from 1 species
UACAGAGACUGCAAGCGUUAUUCGGAUUCACUGGGCGUAAAGGGUGCGCAGGCGGUUGGGUGUGUCAGAUGUGAAAUCCCGAGGCUUAACCUCGGAACUGCGUCUGAAACUACUCGACUAGAGUACUGGAGAGGGUAACGGAAUUCACGGUGUAGCAGUGAAAUGCGUAGAUAUCGUGAGGAACACCAGAGGCGAAGGCGGGUCUCUGGGCCGAUACUGACGCUGAGGAGCGAAAGCGUGGGGAGCGAACAGG